CCAAAAUGACGUUGUAUUAAUAAAUUAACGGAUGAGUAGCACAUUUGACAGUCAAUAUAUAUAUAUAUAUUGCACGAUUUUGAGAGUUUAUGUAUUAUUUUAUAAUUUGUAACAAGGGUGUUCAAUCCGGUAAAACCGAACCGAACCGAAAUAGAAAAAUGGUUUGGAUUUUGUAGUACCGAAUAUACCGAAUGGAUGUCAUUUUUAAGAAAUCGCGGUAUAUGGAUAUGGUUUGGUAUAUAAGCCGAUCAAACCGAAUAAACCGAUCAAUUUAAAUAUAAUAGUAUAAGUAUAUGUAAAUUAUAUAAUAUAAUUAUUAAUAUAUACCUAAUUUAUUUUAUUGGUAUGAUCUUCC
rnacentral:lncRNA from 1 species